rnacentral:rRNA from 1 species
AACGAACGCUGGCGGCAGGCUUAACACAUGCAAGUCGAACGAGAUCUUCGGAUCUAGUGGCAGACGGGUGAGGAACACGUGGGAACAUCCCUUUCAGUUCGGAAUAACGUUGGGAAACUAACGCUAAUACCGGAUACGUCCUUCGGGAGAAAGAUUUAUCGCUGAAAGAUUGGCCCGCGUCUGAUUAGCUAGUUGGUGAGGUAACGGCUCACCAAGGCUACGAUCAGUAGCUGAUCUGAGAGGAUGAUCAGCCACAUUGGGACUGAGACACGGCCCAAACUCCUACGGGAGGCAGCAGUGGGGAAUAUUGGACAAUGGGCGCAAGCCUGAUCCAGCCAUGCCGCGUGAGUGAUGACGGCCUUCGGGUUGUAAAGCUCUUUCAGCUGGGAAGAUAAUGACGGUACCAGCAGAAGAAGCCCCGGCUAACUCCGUGCCAGCCGCCGCGGUAA